UAUAUGUAUGUAUGUAUUUAUUUACAUAUGUAUAUACGAAAGUCACAUUUACUUUAUUUUUCCUUCAUUAUACAUAAUAUGUUUUGACUUAACAUUCUACCAUCAUAGAUUAUUCAUUAUUGAAUAGAAUGUCAAAGGAGGCUUGUUGUGUUGUUCGAUCUAAUUGUAAUUUCCUUAUAUAUAUGUAUACGUGUGUGCGUGCGUGCGUGUGUGUGUGUGUGUGUGUGUAAUGUGUGAAUGAUUUAUACACAUACUUUGAUCAUUUUUAAAUUUUAAUAUAUUGCGUAGUUUCGAUAAUAUUGCCAUUGGCCCGAAACUUCUUUUCUUAUAAAAAUUAAUUUUGUAAGAUGGAGUAGCAGCCCAACUAACUUCCAACGUUUGAGUGGAAGCCCUGACCAGUUGAACGCGAGAAGGUGCAGGUGGUUUGUUCACUUCAAGAUACCAAAGAUCUUUACAACAAACCUGCGAAUGAGUUUCAAAAUUGUCAAUAAAAUACCAUUUCUUCUGAUAAUAUUCGCAAAAGAACAACUAACCCUAACCUGGUUGUUCCAAGCUUUACGAUAACCAUCGCGCCCAGACCAAACAUAUAAUCUACUGUGCACACCAACAGCGCAAUGUCCGGCACGUGCACGCGGUACAUUUUCCUCAAGAGAAUCUACCGUCAGUUGCUCCCACGUUAAUGUUUCUAAAAUAAAGAAAAUAUUAUUGCGUAUAAGUUUACUGAAAAAAAGAAAUAUAUAUAUAUAUAUAUAUAUAUAUAUAUAUAUAUAUAUAUAAAUAAGUAAAAAAGAAAGCUUAAUUUGAAUGACAUAAAUGUUAACUCACCUAAAUUUAAACAUGCUAAUGUACUUGUACAUUUCCAUUCUUUCUCGUGUGUUGCUACUUUUACAUCAUCUACCACAAGGGGCACCCAUCCCCCGAAAACAUACAUUCUGUGACCGAUUAAAGUAGCAGUAUGGAGAGAACGUGGUAGCGGCGUAGGUCCAUGUACUACUGGCUUGUUCCAUGUCAUUGAAUCGACAUCGAGAAACCAUAGGUCACCCAAACGACAACCACUCAUACCACCAUAGAUCACCAAGCAAGAUUUACCUGUUGUACGAUCUGUAUAAGCAACACCUGUGUGCGACUCUCGAGGUGGAGGUGCAUGACCAUGGGUUUGUGGAACAUCCCAUGCUGUUGCUCCAUUUGGAAGAAGUUCCAAUGUAUAGAGAUCAUUUAAAUAUCUCGGUAUAUUAUUUUUUGGAUCUUCGCUAUCAUUGGCCAAACCUCCGAAUAAAAAGACUCUAUUUCCAAUAAGAGUAAAACUAUGGCCUAACCGUGGACAAGGUGGAGGAUCAUGUUUUGGUGGUUUUGGUUUUAAUCUUUUCCAUUCCCACCUACUCGCUUGAAGCUCAUAGAGUUCAUUAGAGUACUUGCCAUAUUCUACCAUUCCACCAAAAACCAAUAUGCGUGUACCAUCGACCACAAAUCCAUAGGCCGCACAGCCAGGUGGAAUAUCGCCUUUGGUUAAUGGUACGAACCAUUGAUUAGUUGCUGUAAAAAAAAAAAGAAA